GAGUGAGGGGGUGACUAGUGGCAGAGUGAGGGAAGGAAGGGGUGACUAGUGACAGAGUGAGGGAGGUGGUGACUGUCACUAGUCACCACCUCCCUCACUCUGUCACUAGUCACCACCUCCCUCACUCUGUCACUACUCCCUCCCUCCUUCUGUCACUAGUCAUCCCCUCCAUCCCUUACUCUGUCACUAGUCACCCCCUCCCUC